rnacentral:rRNA from 1 species
AGUAACGGCGAGUGAAGCGGCAACAGCUCAAAUUUGAAAUCUGGCCCCAGGCCCGAGUUGUAAUUUGUAGAGGAUGUUUCUGACGAGGUACCUUCCGAGUUCCCUGGAACGGGACGCCAUAGAGGGUGAGAGCCCCGUACGGUUGGUCGCCAAGUCUCUGUGAAACUCCUUCGACGAGUCGAGUAGUUUGGGAAUGCUGCUCAAAAUGGGAGGUAUACGUCUUCUAAAGCUAAAUAUAGGCCAGAGACCGAUAGCGCACAAGUAGAGUGAUCGAAAGAUGAAAAGCACUUUGAAAAGAGGGUUAAAUAGUACGUGAAAUUGUUGAAAGGGAAGCGCACAUGACCAGACUUGGCCAGGUUAAUCAUCCAUCGUUCUCGGUGGUGCACUUUGCCUGGCCAGGCCAGCAUCAGUUCGCCUUGGGGGAUAAAGGCUUCGGGAAUGUGGCUCCUCCGGGAGUGUUAUAGCCCGUUGCGCAAUACCCUGGGGUGGACUGAGGUUCGCGCAUCUGCAAGGAUGCUGGCGUAAUGGUCAUCUGCGACCCGUCUUGAAACACGGACCAAGGAGUCGUCUUCGUAUGCGAGUGUUCGGGUGUCAAACCCCUACGCGUAAUGAAAGUGAACGUAGGAGAGAGCUUCGGCGCAUCUCCGACCGAUCCUGAUGUUCU